ACACGUGGGUAACCUGCCCAUCAGAAGGGGAUAACACUUGGAAACAGGUGCUAAUACCGUAUAACAAUCGAAACCGCAUGGUUUUGAUUUGAAAGGCGCUUUCGGGUGUCGCUGAUGGAUGGACCCGCGGUGCAUUAGCUAGUUGGUGAGGUAACGGCUCACCAAGGCGACGAUGCAUAGCCGACCUGAGAGGGUGAUCGGCCACAUUGGGACUGAGACACGGCCCAAACUCCUACGGGAGGCAGCAGUAGGGAAUCUUCGGCAAUGGACGAAAGUCUGACCGAGCAACGCCGCGUGAGUGAAGAAGGUUUUCGGAUCGUAAAACUCUGUUGUUAGAGAAGAACAAGGAUGAGAGUAACUGUUCAUCCCUUGACGGUAUCUAACCAGAAAGCCACGGCUAACUACGUGCCAGCAGCCGCGGUAAUACGUAGGUGGCAAGCGUUGUCCGGAUUUAUUGGGCGUAAAGCGAGCGCAGGCGGUUUCUUAAGUCUGAUGUGAAAGCCCCCGGCUCAACCGGGGAGGGUCAUUGGAAACUGGGAGACUUGAGUGCAGAAGAGGAGAGUGGAAUUCCAUGUGUAGCGGUGAAAUGCGUAGAUAUAUGGAGGAACACCAGUGGCGAAGGCGGCUCUCUGGUCUGUAACUGACGCUGAGGCUCGAAAGCGUGGGGAGCAAACAGGAUUAGAUACCCUGGUAGUCCACGCCGUAAACGAUGAGUGCUAAGUGUUGGAGGGUUUCCGCCCUUCAGUGCUGCAGCUAACGCAUUAAGCACUCCGCCUGGGGAGUACGACCGCAAGGUUGAAACUCAAAGGAAUUGACGGGGGCCCGCACAAGCGGUGGAGCAUGUGGUUUAAUUCGAAGCAACGCGAAGAACCUUACCAGGUCUUGACAUCCUUUGACCACUCUAGAGAUAGAGCUUCCCCUUCGGGGGCAAAGUGACAGGUGGUGCAUGGUUGUCGUCAGCUCGUGUCGUGAGAUGUUGGGUUAAGUCCCGCAACGAGCGCAACCCUUAUUGUUAGUUGCCAUCAUUUAGUUGGGCACUCUAGCAAGACUGCCGGUGACAAACCGGAGGAAGGUGGGGAUGACGUCAAAUCAUCAUGCCCCUUAUGACCUGGGCUACACACGUGCUACAAUGGGAAGUACAACGAGUCGCAAAGUCGCGAGGCUAAGCUAAUCUCUUAAAGCUUCUCUCAGUUCGGAUUGUAGGCUGCAACUCGCCUACAUGAAGCCGGAAUCGCUAGUAAUCGCGGAUCAGCACGCCGCGGUGAAUACGUUCCCGGGCCUUGUACACACCGC
rnacentral:rRNA from 1 species